GACGAACGCUGGCGGUGUGCUUCACACAUGCAAGUCGAACGAGGUAGCAAUACCUAGUGGCGGACGGGUGAGUAACGCGUGGGAAUCUGCCUUUAGAUGGGGGAUAACGGGUCGAAAGACUCGCUAAUACCGCAUAUGACGAAAGUUGAAAGGAGUAAUCCGUCUAAAGAUGAGCCCGCGUCCGAUUAGCUAGUUGGUAGAGUAAAAGCCUACCAAGGCGACGAUCGGUAGCUGGUCUGAGAGGAUGAUCAGCCACAAUGGGACUGAGACACGGCCCAUACUCCUACGGGAGGCAGCAGUGGGGAAUUUUGGACAAUGGGGGCAACCCUGAUCCAGCAAUGCCGCGUGAGUGAUGAAGGCCUUAGGGUUGUAAAGCUCUUUUGCCAGGGAGAUGAUGACUGUACCUGGAGAAUAAGCCCCCGGCUAACUUCGUGCCAGCAGCCGCGGUAAU
rnacentral:rRNA from 1 species